GUUCACAGACAGGGUCACAUAUUGUGAACUCUCAUUUGGUCUGUGUAAGUUACAGACAUUUUUAUCUUUUUCAAAUGUUUUUGAUGAUGCCCACUUAAAUCACAGUUUUGGCUCUUUUCCACAGACCCUGAUGGAUAAAAGAUGGAUAUUUUUUUCCUGGAGAAGCUAAAACAAUGUAACUUUGAGGUUCUGAUACCAGCUUUUACAAAGUUAUUUACAGAGUUCACCAGACUUCUCUGUGUUAUUUCCUGACCAUGCCGAAAAGCUAUUUGAAACUUGGGCAUUGCAUUUUCCAGACAGAAUCUUGCACUUCCCAGCCAAGAACCAGGAGCAUCAACAAAUCACCUCCAGAACCCCAUGAUGAUAUUCCAACUCCUGUCUACAAAAGUGGGAAGAAAAUCUUAAGUCUAUGUUGGGACCAACAUGGUUGCAUUCUUCUGAGAGGCUGAGGUGACAAAACCAUUCCCAUUUGUCCUUGGAUUGGAAGAUGGCGAUCUCUGCCAUCAAGCCUUCGUUGUUUUUGACAGACAGUCACUCCAGCAAUACACCCUCCUUGGUGAUGUUGACAUGUUUUAAACUUUUUUUAUGUUUUGAACAUUAAUUUUACCAAGCAGUGCACAUCAGUGUGGGUGUUUUUGAAGACUGUUGUUUACAAACUCCCAAGAACUGAAUCCCUUUCUAUAAGAAGUCUGGGUAGUUAUUUGUCAUGCUAAGGUCAUAACUCAUGUUGAUCAUAUAUUGACUGUUUGUGCAACUUUGUGUUGAUCUUAUGUGUUACAUUAACCAUUUCUUAUUACACGGUUCUCUAAAAUGCUAGAUUCUUAUUGGCCAGUCUUGACAUUCUACUACUGCUCAAAACUAAAAACUCCAAUGCUGCAAAUCAUUUUGACAUGUACAGUUUUAUAUUACACAAAUAUUAAAUAUCAAUGUCUAUUAAUUACAUAUCCGACAUUAAAUUUACAAAUGAUUAAAUGUGUUCGUGACAUUUGUCCUGAAGAAACUGUUGGGGCUUUUUUCUGUGAUGACAUGCUGCCAAUACAUUAUCCCUUACUUGUACAACUUUUUACUUGAUCUAAUUGUAAUGUUAACUGGGUAUCUGUCAUUUUAGAU